rnacentral:tRNA from 1 species
CAUUAGAUGGCUGAAAGUUAAGCAAUGGUCUCUUAAACCACUUUAUAAUAUUUAACAAAUAUUUCUAAUGA